rnacentral:rRNA from 1 species
GACGAACGCUGGCGGCGUGCUUAACACAUGCAAGUCGAACGGUGAACUCCGCUUGCGGGGGGAUCAGUGGCGAACGGGUGAGUAACACGUGGGCAACCUGCCCUCAGCUCUGGGAUAACUCCAAGAAAUUGGGGCUAAUACCGGAUAUGACCGCUGACCGCAUGGUCUGGUGGUGGAAAGAUUUAUCGGCUGGGGAUGGGCCCGCGGCCUAUCAGCUUGUUGGUGGGGUAGUGGCCUACCAAGGCGACGACGGGUAGCCGGCCUGAGAGGGUGACCGGCCACACUGGGACUGAGACACGGCCCAGACUCCUACGGGAGGCAGCAGUGGGGAAUAUUGCGCAAUGGGCGAAAGCCUGACGCAGCGACGCCGCGUGGGGGAUGACGGCCUUCGGGUUGUAAACCUCUUUCAGCAGGGACGAAGCGAAAGUGACGGUACCUGCAGAAGAGGCACCGGCCAACUACGUG